rnacentral:rRNA from 1 species
UACGUAGGGUGCGAGCGUUAAUCGGAUUUACUGGGCGUAAAGGGUGCGCAGGCGGUUCUGUAAGAACGGUGUGAAAUCCCCGGGCUCAACCUGGGAAUUGCGCUGGUGACUGCAGGGCUAGAGUACGGUAGAGGGGGGUGGAAUUCCUGGUGUAGCAGUGAAAUGCGUAGAGAUCAGGAGGAACACCGAUGGCGAAGGCAGCCCCCUGGACAAAGACUGACGCUCAGGCACGAAAGCGUGGGGAGCAAACAGG